rnacentral:lncRNA from 1 species
UGACUGUUUCAGGGAAAGCCUUCCCAUCAUGGAUGAUAACUCUAGGAAUAAUUGUAGGCCUGGCUGUAGUCCUGUUUAUUUUACUGAUUGUUUACCGCUGCAAAAAUAAACAACAACACAGCAACAACAAUGCCAACGCCAACAACAACAACAACAACAAGAAGAAAAAGGAAACGAAAAAUACAAAACUAAUGACAGCACACACCUCGGUCAAGAGUAGCGUUAAUGUACCGGAGUGUCCAUCGUCCAUCGUCCGUAUCUCUCUCGACCCUGCAGAACAUCUGUGCUUCAAGAACUACUGAUGUAAACGUCUGCAUUAUGAACACUACAGACCAUGGUUUAAACUCUGUUGUGUUUAAGAGGUGGGGUUGGGGUGAUCAAAUAAUUGGCUAAACUAAUUAUUCUCUUUUAAUGUGAAGGGACUUGCUUUUAAGCUUAAUUGUAUGGAUUCAUCUUUUACAGAAAUGUAACUUGCUCGGCCAAUUCAGGCAGUUUCAUAUUAGUUGUGUAGAUUAAACCAUUAACUUAUCUGGCUGAUGAGCUCCAGAACACCUAAAUUGCACCUGUACAAGCUUCAGGACAUUUUCAAAACCAGAGCAGAGAAUUUUAGUUUGCAAUAAACUUCUGUCCAUGCACUUUUAUUGCUUUGGAACUCUUAUGUUCCAUAACGAAUUUGCGGACUUAAUUAUUACUGCUGUCUUGUCUUGAAAUAGUAUUGUUGAAUUAAUUCGGUCAUUGAUCAAGUUAAAAUUCUUUAAUAAAAAGGUCAGUUUUUGUCAUCGUUGCAUUUUAACUGUUCAAGGUUACAGUGCCUUGCAAAUAUAUUCACACCACAAUCCAAUGAUGGGAUCAUUAAUAAACACUUUGUUUUAAGGCGAUUCAAGAGUGCGGGAGGUUCUGGUCUGAACCACAUUCCCCAGAAGGCAAUGUACAGUAACCCACCUUCCUAAGUCACCUAACCUAGUGGCACAAGACAGUGAU